CUCAUCUGGUUGCUCAUCUAGUACAAACUGGUGGGCUUUCCUCAUUUUGUACCAGAAAUCUUGUCAAUAGCUUCUGACUGCGAAUGACUACGUGCCAAUAUUAGUACUGAUGAGGUGUAGAGUCCCGGAUCUAAUCUCGGUCAUUUCCUAAUCUCGGUCACCGUUCUCUGCCAAAUAGCUGCAGCCAGACCUAGCUGCUACGCUAGCGCCAUAGUCCUACUGGAUAGCAACUAGGUAGAGCGGGUCAUGUCAGUAUCCGUCGUAACGUUGCUGCUGUAGAACUUGAAAGCUGAUGGCACCUAUUCUCGGUCACAGAGUAUCAUAUCUCGGUCAGUGCUUGCCAUCUCGUUUCUACAACUCCGUUUCAGAUGCAAGUCAUCUCCGUCGAUAGGCUCCUUAUAUGACUUCCUUUCGCCAAAUUGUUGGUUUUGUCUUGUCUACCUCUACUCUCGCAGACAACGAAGAAGACGGAUGACUCACGGGACAUAAUCUCGGUCACCUGAUCUCGAGUGAUUUUCUCUCUUCAGACGCAGAUAACGUGAAAUGUGAGAGACAAAUACUCUGACAUCCGGGAUCAUAUCUCGGUCAGUCGCUUUCAUCGCGUUUCUACAAGACGAAUUGAGACGUUAGUCAUGUCUGUUGAAAGGGCGGCGGGAAAGGUGAUCGACCUAUGGGACGUAAUUUCGGUCACAGUAUGAGCGCACUUGUUGGGUUCUACAGCUUUCAGGUAAGUGGUCUUACCUUCAUUGGGCAUUGUCCAUACGGUCACAGUCGACUAAGGCUGAUUGAAAGUGUUUUGUAUUGAGUUUGUAGAACUCUAGCAGAUUCUAGUAACUAGACGUGUGUUGGCAAACGUUAGUUGUCCUGUCUAUGAAUAAUAAUUAAGAUAACCUUUAUUUAGAACAUGUGGUUUAGUGCUAAUUAGCAAAUUUUGUGAGUGAUAGAUUGAUCAUCAUGGAGAUAAACAUUGAAUCUAUUCUGGCACAAGUUGAAUGUCACAAGAGUAUGCCAGGACUCUGCAUACUUGUAACCUGUGUACGUACUACAAUCUUGUUGAUUGUAAGGUUUUAGCUACAUCAGUUAUUAUCAACAACAUACACUGCUUUGCAAGUUUGAAGUGCUAAAAACAGUACG